rnacentral:tRNA from 1 species
GCCUGGGUGGCUCAGUCGGUUGAGCAUCUGACUUCAGCUCAGGUCACGAUCUCACGGUCCGUGAGUUCGAGCCCCACGUCGGGCU